GACGUAGGGUCCAAGCGUUGUCCGGAUUUACUGGGCGUAAAGAGCGCGUAGGCGGUCUGUUAAGUGUAGAGUGAAAGCUCCGGGCUCAACCCGGAAAUUGCUCUGCAUACUGGCAGACUUGAGGAUGGAAGAGGUUUGUGGAGUUCCUGGUGUAGCGGUGAAAUGCGUAGAUAUCAGGAGGAACACCCGUGGCGAAGGCGGCCUUCUGGGGCAUUCCUGACACUGAGAAGCGAAAGCUAGGGGAGCAAACAGG
rnacentral:rRNA from 1 species